AGGCUGAGCUGUGAUGGGGAGAAGACAUUGUGUCUUCGAGUCGUUGAUUUCACACUGCCGAGAAAAGCCUCUAGAUAGAAAAUAGGUGCCCGUACCGCAAACCGACACAGGUAGUCAAGAUGAGAAUUCUAAGGUGAGCGAGCGAACUCUCGUUAAGGAACUCGGCAAAAUGACCCCGUAACUUCGGGAGAAGGGGUGCUCUUUAGGGUUAACGCCCAGAAGAGCCGCAGUGAAUAGGCCCAAGCGACUGUUUAUCAAAAACACAGGUCUCUGCUAAACCGUAAGGUGAUGUAUAGGGGCUGACGCCUGCCCGGUGCUGGAAGGUUAAGAGGAGUGGUUAGCUUCUGCGAAGCUACGAAUCGAAGCCCCAGUAAACGGCGGCCGUAACUAUAACGGUCCUAAGGUAGCGAAAUUCCUUGUCGGGUAAGUUCCGACCCGCACGAAAGGCGUAACGAUUUGGGCACUGUCUCAACGAGAGACUCGGUGAAAUCAUAGUACCUGUGAAGAUGCAGGUUACCCGCGACAGGACGGAAAGACCCCGUGGAGCUUUACUGUAGCCUGAUAUUGAAAUUCGGCACAGCUUGUACAG
rnacentral:rRNA from 2 species